CACUUACUCCUGGGGUCUGGGUGAGCAUCUGGCCCCGACCUGGUAAAGGGUCGGUUUCGCCCAGCAGUAAGCCCUACAUGUGGACAGAGGACGAACACCGGACGAGCGAACGGAGACUACAUGCAACAAGUGGUGACCCCGACGUGAUCUGUCUGCUGAGGGUGGCUGCCCGGCGUGCCCGUGACGCGGAGAAGAGCCUGUGAGGUGGCGGCAGGUCGCAUGCGUAACAAUGGACCAAGUCAUUAAGAAAUUCUUCGUUGGCAGACCGAAGCCAACUCCAGAACAACUGAGGGACAGACGAUGGGAUCAAGAACCACUUGUCAAGAGGAGCACUACACCUGCAACGCUGACACUUCCGAUGUUGCUGAUAUUUAUGGUGUCCAUGGCGAUUACAGAGUGUCACAAACAACUACAAUGGACACAAGAACAUAUGCAGAAAAUUAAAGAAGAGCGUGAUCCCUUUGGAAGCUGGCUGGACGGACUGUUUGGGGGAACGGGUUCAUGGUUAAAGCAAUUGCUUAAAGCUCUCGCAGUAGGAUUUGCAAUCUUUGUGUGUAUUCUAAUCUGUCUUCCAUGCUUUGUAGGAUGCUUGCAGAACUGCCUUCAACGAAUGAUGGACAAGACUUUUGACUAUCACAUUGAGUAUCAUAGAUUGCGUGAAAAAUUAUAGAGGGGUUUAGGUUGUUGCGUUCGUGCUGUAACGGGGCAAGGCUUGGCCGAGCACGGAAAAGAAUUCCCUGUUGCUCUGAUGAUUGCUUAAGAACUGUAGUAGAAAAAUAGUAGGAAUAGUGUGCUGAAAUAUAUUUAGGAUUAGGCGUUUUGCGCUGCUUCGCGAUGUACGGGUUAGGUGUGUGUGUAAGUAGUAUUUAGCUUAGGGAGGGGGAGAUGUUGUAGUAGGCGUCUUGCGGGGGCACGGGAUGUACGGGACAGGCCUCUCCCUAAACAUAGAGAGAUAGUGCUAUCGUGCUGACCUUGUUGCAGAGAAAACAGGAGAAGAAGAAGGAUGAUAAAAGAAUAUGGAAACGGCCAAAUAAGGCACAAUGUUAUCUGGUGUGAACUAAUCAGAGUGGGACAUGACAGCACGGUUAUCUAGGUAAAAAUGUAUAUAAGCUGUGUUUAGUAGUGAAUAAACGCCAUUUGCCUCACUUACUCCUGGGGUCUGGGUGAGCAUCUGGCCCCGACCUGGUAAAGGGUCGGUUUCGCCCAGCAGUAAGCCCUACAUGUGGACAGAGGACGAACACCGG
ensembl:lncRNA